AAAAAGCGUUAUAGGUAUACACUUUUCAGUGAUAGUAAAAGGUAUCGUUUGACCUUAAAAGCUUAUUGCCCAGUAAAAUGAAAUUUGCAUGUAUUCUAGCUUUGUUUGCAUUGAUCACUUUGGGAUUAGUGUAUUCACAGGAUCACAUAGAGAAAGAGAAGAAAAUGUUCGUUCUAAAUCACAUCAGAUCUGUAGAUGGGGAAUCUAGAAUAACGUCUGAUUAUCUCCAAGAUAUACGGACACAGAAAGGAAAGGUAAAACACACCUUGAUUGUAUUUAUAAAAAAAGAGGACGAUACACUGGCGUCACUUUACAGAAAACUAGAAUCAUUGAUAUCCACAAAGAUUAUGAAGGGCGAGUGUGAUAAAAGACCGCCACUAGGGACUUGCAGUAAUGGGAUGUUUUUAUCUUAUUUCAAAUGUCGUGUGACAAUGGAUGAAACAGGAAUAAAUUCUGUUUUAGUCGAGUUUACCUCUUUCAACGAUAGAAAACCUGAAUGUCAUUUUUCGAAGCACGGUGAAAUCUACUUGGGAAUCGGUCAAAAUAAAGGAGUAGAAUCAAGCCAAAAGAAAACAAGUUCCUUCAUUAUAAAUCAUUUGUUUGGAUCAAAAUUAUUUAAAGGGAAAUCAUGCACCAGAAAGUAAUACAAAAAUAUAAGUAAUGAAUUAUCCUGUAAAGGUCAAGCUUGUUUAAUCAUCAAAUGAAUGUCAAAUUUACCUUGACUUUCUAUUAAAAAGAUUGAUAGACCUUUCGGACAUGAAUAAUAGAUUUCCAUUUCACAAAAUUAAUAUUGUGUUUUACGUGUGUCACCUUAUUACAUUGUACUUUAUAAAAGCGAUAAAGCAUUUAAGUGACGCAAAAUUCAUGAUGUACCAAUUAUACUUAGUCUAAAUUUUUACUAUACAUUUCUACUUUACAUAUUGUUUAUCAAAAAAGUACUUAUUUCUAUCGCAUAAAAAGCCCCUCUCAAGAAAUUCACGCAUUGGUCGAACGUUAUAAUUUUACAUUACCAUUGGAAUUUUCCAGUGAAAAAUACGGUCGUCUUCAUAAGUUAAUAAAUUCAUUUAAAGGGAAAAAAUAGGAUUGUUCAAGGACCCAACGCAUAAAUUAUGAGUUUUCUUUCGGCUUCAUUGUCACGCAAGCGCAAGGGGGUGUAAAUUUUGCAGUAUGGCAUAUUUCAUGAGCAAGCGGCCUCUCAGUGAAAUUUGAUGUCAUCGAGAACUCAUAUUUGUGUUAUGCACUAACUUAAUUUUUGAAAUCGAAUGAAUGGAUAUUCCUGACAAGACAUCAACUAUAUUCAAAUUCUUUUCUCGGUGCGUCAAUCCCAUAUAGCUAUUUUUAGACAGCAAUUGCAAUCAAACUGAAAAGGCACCAAGCAGCUUUGUCUGGAAUGCAGAUUAUUCCACAGAUUUCUAGGAACAAGAAGAUGUUUACUUAUUUAAAAAUAACAAACAACGACAAAUGCAAUCUUGGGUACUAGGAAACCUGAUCAAUUGAACAUUUAUUUUUUCAUUCUCAUUAGAGUAAAUAAAAACGGAUGCAAUUCAAUCAUGCUUGUCAUAUCAUUGUCAAUUUAAUAAAAACGUUUUAGGUCACCUCAGGUGACCUAUUGCUAUCUGUUUUCGCCCGGCGUCGUGCGUUAACAAUUUUACAUUUUUAACUUCUUAAAAACUACAAGGCCAAUUGUUACCAUUUUUGGUGUGAUGAAUCUCUAUGGUAAGAGGAAUCUGAAUUGUAAAAUUCAUGGCUCUGCCACCCCGGGGCACCACAGGUGGGGCCAAAUAUGCAAAAAAAAAAACAAAUUUUCAAAAAUAUUCUUCUCUACUCCCACACGUUAGGAAAAAACUAAAUGCAUGAUGGUGAUGUCCAUGAAGCCGUCUACCAAAAUUGUGAAAUUUAUGGCCCCUGGGUCAGGGGAUCUGGCUCUAGGGUGGGGCCAAUAUGGCCAUUUAGUAAAAUGUAUUAAAUCUUAGAAAAUCUUCUUCUUUAUUCCCAUAUAUAUAUUUGUUAAAAACUAAAUGCAUGAUUAUGAUAUCCACGAAGCCCUCUACCAGAAUAGUGAAAUUCAUGACCCCUGUGUCGGGGGUUUGGGGCCUAGGGUGGGGCCAAUAUGGCCAUUUAGUAAAAAUUUAAUAAAUCUUUAAAAACUAAAUACAUGGUUAUGAUGUCUACUAGGUCCUCUACCAAAAUUGUGAAAUUCAUGGCCCCUGGGUCAGGGGUUCAGGACAUGGAGAAGGGAGGGGCAAUAUGCCAAUAAAGGGUUAAUGCAUAUUCGGGAUUUUCAUAACCUGGAGUUAUCGUUCGUAACACGAGUUAUCUCUCCAUUAGAGCAGGUAUAGCGCUAUGUAACAGUAGAAACAAAUGGUUCAAAUAAACAUUUUUUGUUUUGUUAAUCGGUUAUUGGUGUAAAUUGUCAAUGUAGAAAGACGAUUGUGCAAUUAAAGGAUGCUGUUAUAUUAAAAAAAAUAAAAAAAACAGUAGAGAGAUUUGACGAGCGCACUUAUUUGCACCAUA